AACGAGGUCUUACAUUUUAUGAUUUUUUAGAAAUUAUGCACUUAGUAGUGGGCAAAAUACUGGUAAACGAAGCUAAAGGUUAUUUUUCUAUUGAGAAGAGAGAAGAGGUGGAUGUUUCCCCAUUUUGAUUCCAACCUUUUCUCCCAGUGACAAAGCAUAUAUUAUGGACACCAGAGAAUAAGGUGGACCUCAGGAAUUUUGGAAAGACUGAGAAGCUUACAUUCUUCCUCAGGAGGGAAGAGUGGGGUGUUUUUUUAGCCCUCUUUGGAACCUAAAACGAAAAAAAUGAGUUGCGUGCCAUGGAAAGGAGACAAGGCCAAAUCAGAAUCAUUGGAGCUGCCCCAGGCGGCACCCCCACAAAUCUACCAUGAGAAACAGCGCAGAGAGCUUUGUGCCCUCCAUGCCCUCAAUAACGUCUUCCAGGACAGCAAUGCCUUCACCCGGGAAGCACUUCAAGAGAUUUUCCAGAGGUUGUCUCCAAACACCAUGGUGACACCUCACAAAAGGAGAAUGCUGGGAAAUGGAAAUUAUGAUGUGAAUGUCAUUAUGGCAGCACUACAAACAAAAGGCUACGAAGCUGUUUGGUGGGACAAGCGCAGGGAUGUCAGUGUCAUUGCUCUCACUAACAUCAUGGGUUUUAUCAUGAAUCUGCCCUCCAGCCUGUGCUGGGGUCCACUGAAGUUACCUCUCAAAAGGUAGCACUGGAUCUGUGUUCAAGAGGUAGGAGGGGCCUACUAUAACUUCGACUCCAAACUCAAGAUGCCCGAGUGGAUUGGAGGCGAGAGCGAGCUCAGGAAAUUUCUAAAACAUCAUUUGCGAGGAAAGAACUGUGAACUCCUGCUGGUGGUACCAGAAACAGUAGAGGCCCAUCAGAGUUGGAGGACUGAUAUGUAACACGGUUCUGCCCAACCUUGCCUUUGUCUCAGCCCCUUCAGUCAUCUGUGAUGUGCUGUGGCCUCUACUGUGGGUCUGUCCUUGCCAUUUCCCCAAACAUCUCAUCAGGUUUUUCCUCUUCAGAUUUGACAGUGCAAUAGGACAGAUACAUGGACUGUUACAUGAACCACCCAGUGUUUUCUUCCUGGGAAAGGAAGGGGGAGCUCUGUAUACUCUAAGGCCAAUGAUCACAAAGCCCUGUUUUAUUUGAGAGAGAAAAAAGAAAGGGGAGGAGUCCUAGCUUGUCUCCCCUUUCUGUGAGGGCUUGACACAGAUUCUGCUGGAGUGUCACUGCUGCUCCAGACUCACCUGGAUAUGCUGCCUCCACUUUCCCUCCUGCCACAUCAGGG